rnacentral:lncRNA from 1 species
ACAAAAUGUCAGCGAGGCGCCUGGAGGGGGAUCUACCAUCUCGGACUCCCGACCCGCCGCCGGCUCCGGCCGCGUUUCCCGGGUAAAGGGUUUUUCCCAGUUGUGUUUAACAAGAAAGAUUCUGGAACUUUGUCAUCUCCAUGGCUGCUGGUUCAAAAUCUGACAGUAUGAGCAGCAUUGAUCUCACUGUGCCUGGGUCUCACCUUGCCCUUGAUUUUCUCCCUAAGUUCUCAGAAGAGCUCAAGAAGUCUGUCAUGUGUUUUCUUCUCAUUGUUUUUCAACUUUCAAAGCAAAUUUAUCUAGAAUCACACAUUUGGUCCUUUGUGAACUUAUUUCCUAACUAAUAAACUUCACCUUUUUCUGUAUUCCCUUUUCUUUAAUAGGUUAUUGCAGUAGUGAAUUAGUUUCCUAAUAAAAAAGACUGUGCAAUGA